CCAGGUAGGAUCUUUACCUUAUCCUCAGUGUGAAGGGAAGUGACAGGUGGUUUUCAGCCAGAAGGUGAUUCCGUCAGGUUUGUGGUUGGGAAAAGUCCCUCUGGCUUCGUUGUGGACAAUGGAAUGGGGGCAGAAGAGUGGAUUCCAGAGAUCAUGGGGGUGCUAUUUCAGUGGCCCAGGUAGGAGGUGAUGACGUCCUGAGAAAGGGUGGAGGCAGGGACCACAGAGUGACAGGGAUGGGCGAAUCCAAGGUCUUCAGGAAGAACAGUUCACAAGACCUGGCAAAGGAUGGGGCAGGAGAGGAGGGAGAGGGUGGAGCCCAGGAGGUAGCCUGGGUCCUGGCUAGCUGGAGAGGGUGCCAUUGAAUGAAAAAUGACUCAUGGAAGGGCCCGACUGUGGGGGAAGACCCUGCGAUUGGUCUUGGUGAGUUAGUGCCUGGAGGCAUCUGUGGAAAUAGAAAGCUGGUGAAGGCAGAGGAGAAUCAGGAAAUGCAGACGGGGCAAGUGUGCGGGUUUGAGAUAUUUCGGGGUGAACAGCAUUGGACACUGGGGAUGAGGGAGAGGAAAGUGACAAGGAUGGACUCAGGUUUCCAGCUUGUGCCACCUAGAAAGAGGGUCUGCUGUUUUGUGGCAUGUAUUUUCCCUGGUUUGUCAUUUGCCUUUUUUUUUUUCUUGAGAUGGA
rnacentral:lncRNA from 1 species